UAAAAAAUAGACACAUCACGUGAUAGCCUUGCUACAAAAUGGACUUCAUUUUCUUCUUUUGCUUCAAAUUGAGGUUCACAUUUAACCAGUUAUACAGUCAUCACAGCAAAUUGUGUUGGUUUCAAUGGCACUUGAGGCAGCAUUUGUAUAGACUGACUACUGGGACAAAGUCAAAGGGGCCAUGCAGUGUCUGAUAGUCUCCCUAGCCAGACCAUUCCCCAGCCUACAGUCAUUUGGGUGGACUAAGUGUCUGAGUCAUCAUGUAGCUACAUUGUAUGUAGAGAGCUAGGAUACUAAUUUUAAUUCACUCAUUAUUUGUUGGUGCAUGCAUGAGGUCCAACUGCUGCACAACCGAUCAAGAACGUGUGCUGAUGUAGCAAUUAAGGUAUGAUCUUGCAGCAAAAUUAAUGACUUUUGAUAUUCGUUUUAUGUCAAAUGAGACUAUUUUGGUGGUCUUGCUUAGUCUUUAAUAAAAAUUUGAAGGGCAAAUUCAGUUUAUAGUAGCUGAUGCUAAGGUUCUUUGUAAGUAUGUCAUGUGGAAAGUACAGUCUAAUUGGCAGCUACUAUUUUGGAAUCGUUCAGGUCUAAAGAACUCAUUACACGACCUACUAUGAUUCAUCUUGUUCCCAACACAUUAAUGGUGCUGCUUUAGUGUGAAUGUAAGUUAAGUAUCAGUAGAUUAUCAAAUAGUAAUACACUAAUACUACUAAUUAUUACCACAAGACUAAAGGUGCAACUUUGAACUAGACUUUACUGGAAGUGGAGUAGAGAUAAGUAUUAGAAUCCUACCAUAGUGGCAGCUUCCUCCUACUGGAAUUAUAAAGAAGUUUCUGAUAAUUUGGCUGGAUUUCCCACAAAAUUUUGGCUUCUUGUCAGUAGAUGUUUUGGGUCAAACAAGUCUUAGCAAAAAGUUCAUCAAAAAUGACUAAGAAACAAUUCUACCUUUCGUCUGAGAUUAGAUCCAGUGAUUGGUUCGAUCAUGAAGUAUUUGUAUUCCAUGACCUAUUUUUACAUUCAUCUUUGUUGCUUAUUUAUCAAGGAGCUGUAAUUAGUGUCUAUACAGGAGGUACAGGACACACACAAAAAGAUACUACUUCAAAACCAGAAGUUGUCCCAAUACCAGACAGGGAAGCAGUUAAUGAGUCAAUCUUAGAAGAUCAUACCGAGGAACAUGAGUCUGUGCAGAGAGCUGCAGCCAUUCAAGCUAAGAGUAAAAUACUUGCACAUUCUGUUUGAAUUAUUAACUUAACUCUCAUAGAAACUCAGUAUAUCUGUGAGUGUUUAUAAUUAUUGUUUAUGCUUAUUAUUCUGUAUGUUAUGUAUUAUCAAUUAGUUUAUGAUUAUUAUUUCUUUUGAA